ACUCUCUCUCGUGUGCAUCCCUCAAAAAAAACUCUCUCUCGUGAACCUCACCCCCACCCUCGGUCCAGUUCCUCUCCCCCACUAUCUCCGCGCCGCCGCCGCCACCCACGUCGGCCGGUUCCGGUGAGCUCCGGCCGCGCGCAACAUGCCCCCAAGCUCCGCCCCUCUCUCCCCCCUUCCAGAUCCGUGCCUCAAGGGAUGCACCCUUGCCCGCCGCUAGGGUUUCGGGCGCCUCUCGUGUUCUUGCCAGAAUCCACCACAAUCGGCGAUGGCGAGGCCGGAGCUUGCGGGAUCCGUCUGCGGUGUUGCCCAGGUCACCAUGGUGCAGAGACGACAAUGAUGGCAAGAGGGCACAAACCUUGCCCUGAUCGAGGAGGAGGAGGGGCGCACCUAGAUGCCAGCCCUGCUCUGCUCGAUGAGGAGGGGUGGGAGGGGUCUACUCCUAGGGCGACCAAGAGGUCCUGCUCGAGCUCAAGCAUGGCCAUGAUGACCCACCACGGCAGGAAACAGGCAUUGGUUGAUUGGUCGAUGCGCCAUGGCCGUGGGUUGUCCUAGUGCAUGCGUUUGCUGAAGGUGGUGAUGCAUAUGCCUGAAGGUGGUGAUGCAUAUGCCUGAAGGUGGUGAGCAGAGCAACUUCUGCUCGACGGUGCUGCUGCACUUGUGCUAGUCAGUGAAGCUAAGAACCUUGGCCUUCAAGUUCUUGCAAGAACCAAAGGGUAUGCUGAUGCUGCUCAGGGGUGAUCGACGUGGGCUACUGCGGCCUGGUGGGCACCGUGCUCUUCAACCACUCGGAGGCGGACUUCAUCGUGAAGCCCGGCGACCGUGCCACACAGAUGAUCAUCCAGGUCAUUGCGACGCCGGAGGUCACCGAGGUGGAGGACCUCGACGCUACCGUCCGGCGGGAGGGAGUGCUGGGAUCCACCGAUGUUUGAACUCCGAGCCUUGGUAGAUACAUCUAGAGAAGCGGUCUAAUUGUUUGCAUCUAAUGUUAAAUGGGAUCUCGAGAUCUCGAGUUGAGAUGUUCAAUGUUGUAUCCAUGAAUGCUGCAAGUGCUAAGAUGGUUCUGUGAACUUAGUUUAUUUGCACUGGACGUGUCUUGAUUUC